CGAGUUUGAUCCUGGCUCAGGAUGAACGCUAGCGGCAGGCUUAACACAUGCAAGUCAGGGGCAGCACGUCUUCGGAUGGUGGCGACCGGCGCACGGGUGCGUAACGCGUAUAGAACCUACCUUUUACAGGGGAAUAGCCCAGAGAAAUUUGGAUUAAUGCCCCAUGGUAUUAUUAGAUGGCAUCAUUUGGUAAUUAAACAUUUAUGGGUAAAAGAUGGCUAUGCGUUCUAUUAGCUAGAUGGUAAGGUAACGGCUUACCAUGGCGACGAUAGAUAGGGGUCCUGAGAGGGAGAUCCCCCACACUGGUACUGAGACACGGACCAGACUCCUACGGGAGGCAGCAGUGAGGAAUAUUGGACAAUGGGCGAGAGCCUGAUCCAGCCAUGCCGCGUGCAGGAAGACGGUCCUAUGGAUUGUAAACUGCUUUUAUACAGGAAGAAACACUCCCUCGUGAGGGAAUUUGACGGUACUGUAUGAAUAAGCACCGGCUAACUCCGUG
rnacentral:rRNA from 1 species